UUGCCAGACUCCUACGGGAGGCAGCAGUGGGGAAUAUUGCACAAUGGGGGAAACCCUGAUGCAGCAACGCCGCGUGGGUGAAGGAGCGUUUCGGCGCGUAAAGCCCUGUCAGCGGGGAAGAAGAAAGACGGUACCCGACCAAGAAGCCCCGGCUAACUACGUGCCAGCAGCCGCGGUAAUACGUAGGGGGCAAGCGUUAUCCGGAUUUACUGGGUGUAAAGGGAGCGUAGACGGUAUGGCAAGUCUGAUGUGAAAACCCGGGGCUCAACCCCGGGACUGCAUUGGAAACUGCCGAACUAGAGUGUCGGAGAGGCAAGUGGAAUUCCUAGUGUAGCGGUGAAAUGCGUAGAUAUUAGGAGGAACACCAGUGGCGAAGGCGGCUUGCUGGACGAUGACUGACGUUGAGGCUCGAAAGCGUGGGGAGCAAACAGGAUUAGAUACCCUGGUAA
rnacentral:rRNA from 1 species